rnacentral:rRNA from 1 species
AUGGCCUCCGCCGUCUCGCUCCUCCUCUCGUCCCCGCGCCCGCUCCACCGCGCGGCCCCGUCCCUCCUCAGCCCGCCCGCGCCCCGCCUGCGCCUCCCCCUCCUCGGCCCCUCUCCCGCGACCGCGCUGCUCCCGCGCCGCCCCCUCGCCCCGCCGCCGCGCGCCAACAACGACAACAGCGACGCGGUGGGGGCGCCGGACCGCCUGGUGGCGGCCGUCGCCUACCUCUACCCGUUCCUCGACGGCGCGCACCACGGCCGCUUCCUCGUGGCCCAGUACCCGGUCUUCAACGCCGUCCUCAGCCCGCUCGGCCCCGCCGCGCGCCUCUUCCACUCCUCGCCGCUCACGCCCUUCCUCCUCUUCAUCACCCUCUACUUCGCCGUCGUCCGCAACCAGCAGGCCUUCUCCCGCUUCGUGCGCUUCAACGCCAUGCAGGCCGUCGCGCUCGACGUCCUGCUCAUCGUCCCGGACCUCCUCGCGCAGUCCUUCGCGCCCUCCGGCGCCGGCAUCGGGCUCGACAUCUUCACCAGCCUGGAGAACACCGUCUUCCUCUUCCUGCUCGUCUCCCUCCUCUACGGCGGGGGCGCCUGCCUGCUCGGGAUCACGCCGCGCCUGCCCAUCGUCGCGGACGCGGCCGAGCGCCAGGUGAUGUGA